rnacentral:miRNA from 11 species
ACUCGAGCUGAUCGUAUAAGCC